rnacentral:lncRNA from 1 species
ACAGAGCACGGCGAGCGCACCGCGCGGCGGCCGGCCCGCGCCCUUAACCCUUCGCUGCGCGCCGCCCGGGGAGGCGGGCACCUUUCCCAAAGAGUGGCUCGGGAUGGGGUGCGGGGGAGGGGAGACGCGGACCGGAGGGCAAGGUUCCUUCCAGGCGCUCGGAGCAGCAUCUGAGAGGGCUCACUCUGAUCAUCAGCUGCACGUUAAGCCACAAACCGGCGUCGCUUCGGCGUUCCGGAACCCAGGCCUGGGGGCCGCGGGGAUUGCCUCUGCGUGCAACUCCGGAAAGUUUCAAGGGGUCCCCCGACUGCACAGGUCCGGAAAUCGGCUUUGAUAUGGAACUACUCCGCUCUAGCCUGGAAAGGAGACCCGCGCACUCCUCUCGCAGCUAAUUUCGGAUCAUUAAUUUAAUCGGAAAUGAGGUAACCAGUGUAGGAGACAGAGAAAGCAACCGGAGCAUCAAAUGGCAGUUCUCGAGAAUCGACGAGGAACUUAAAUCUGGACUCAGGGUUUCAGUGCGGUCUCCGACUCCCACCACCCCGCCCCUCCGCCUGUCUCGCCGCCAGGUGUGACCUCCACGCGAAGGAAUCUUCUUCGGAUGGGUGCACCUUGCCAACAGGUGUGGCACCUGGAGGACUAGGAGGCGCCUCCAGACUAAGGGCGCUCAGUGCGGCGUUCUUGUUGCAGAUGAUUCUGGAAGGCCGGUAGGUGUCGGGCGACAUUUGACCUUCUUCAGGUGCUUAGAACUAAGUGUCUGGAAACAUGAUCCUUUCGCGUAAGUUUCUUUCUGAAAGCCACCAAUCUUGACUGUAAGCUGUAUUUGAGAGAUCUUUUGGCUGAGUUUACUUAUGACCUAACGGUUAGUCACCAACUGAGGCAGGGCACAGGAUGACCAAAAAAAAAGUGUCAGUUUUUACACAACUCUGGCCUGCAAGAGCCUACGUGCUUCAUAAAUAAAAAUAAACAUACGAGCGAGGAAGGUGCAGAGCCCCGGAAAUAUUUUUUUCUCACAUUUUUGAAAUACCAUGCACAUAUAUGUGGCUAUUUAAGUAUAACUACUAGUGUUCACUCUUACUCAUUUCUACAACUUUUUUUUUUCCAUUUAAAAAUCGAUUAUUGUUACGGUUUAAACCUCGGGUUGGUCUAAAGUGACAUUGUUGGUCUCAUUACAGCCUCUAGUGGACAGUUAACAUCAGUUUCCUGAAAAGGCUCUGACUGGUUUUGUUUUCGUUGACAAGCUUUGUCAAGGUGAAGGUUAGUACGUAAGAGCAUAACCGGGUAAAAUGUCCCCUCACCCCUAUCCUCACCCCCGCCCCCAACACCCUGCUUGGCAAAGACGACUUCAGAAAGGAGCAGAAGCUUGUUGGCUUUAUAUAGAAAAGACGUAUGCUUUGUGCUGCAGGUAUUAUUAUUACUGGACUGUGAAUAAACAGAAAGCUUCUGCUAUUCAUUUCAGUUUCAGACAGCUUUCAUAAAAACUAAAUUCAUCUCAAAUAUUUUUAUAACAGAAAAUAUUGGUUGCCAUGUUUUUGGCUUAACUGCGAUGUUUUUAUUCCAACUCAUAAUCUGCAAACUGUCCAAUCCACCUCCACUCUAUUUUUAGACAUCUUACAUUUAGAUAAUUUUCAGUUAAAAAAAAGCUAAUAUUGUAAUUUUACGUUGGCACAAGCAGUUAAUUUACGUGAUUUUAACAACCUUAAAUUAAAACACAUAAUUCAGAUUACAGUUAGUCAAUUAAUUUAAAUGUUCUCUCAAGGAAGCUAAAUAUGUAUAUUACCCAAAUGGUAAAAACAAUUAAUAAGAAAUGUGUCAUUUACUUUCUUAGCCAUUAAGUUUAAAGCCAUAAACUGCCACCAAAAUCUGUAACUAUUUCUUCCUGCAAGAUCCAACAUAAACACCAUACUCAUGAAACUGUCUCAUUACCUUUAGUACUGAAAUAUUUUGUUUUCAGAUGGCAAAAUAUUAAGUGUACAAUCACAAAUAACAGGCACUGAUUCUUUAGAAACAAGACUUUCUCGUGCAAAUAAAAACUCAAUGAAAAAGGGCAGAGCUUCCAAGAAGCUAGUAGACAAAUAUAUAGUACUAUAGUCCUACUCAUAAGGCUGGUGUUAUGUUUGUAAAAGCAUAAGUCAACCUUUGAAAUUACAGGAAAUCGAUAAAUAAGGCCUGAUGAGCUUGACUCGUAUCCUGUGUCAUAGAUUGCUUAAAUACCAUGAAAAAUAAUUGUAAUCACAUAUCUAUUUUACUGUUUUGGUGGUAUCUACUCUUGAAGGUGUUAAAUGGGCCAGCAAGUAUAUAUUAUAUAAUUACAUAUUACACCCUUACUUAAAGUGUAGUUUUCAAAGUCGCCACAGCAGCACUUGGGAGCUUUUUAGACAUUCAGAGUCAAGGGUUCUACCCCAGACAUACCAAAUCAGAAUCUGCCUUUGAACCAGGCCCCUGGGUGAUUUCUAAACACAUUAUCAUGUGAAGAACACUGGUCUAUACCACAGGGAUCAACCUAAAUAAAUUUGGGCACAAGUGCAGAAGUUAAUUCCUCUAUUUAUUUCUUUUUUGCUCCUUUUUAGUAAGUACAGCCCUUAUUAAUUUGUGCUUUUCAAUGAAAAAUUAUUAUGUUAUAUGCUUUGGAUAAAUACUACUGCACUGUAAGUGCACACAUCUGCAUCAUUAUUGCCAAAAAAGAAUGCUCUGCUGAGGAAUGUACUGGGGUCUUGAACAUGAACAUUUUCUUCAUGGCAGCAGAGGGAGCACAAGAGUGCUUAAUAAAACCAGUGCACAGGUCUCUCCAAAUCAUGACAGAUUUUACAUUGUAGUAUAUGUUUUCAUUGGAAGUAGCCUGUUAUGUAGUUCAAAAUGAAGCAAAUCAACUGAGCAAACACAGAUAGGCUUACCAGGUCAUAACAACUAUGUAACUGAACAGAUUGAAAGUUGAAUAAAAUAAAGAUAAACUUCUUUAGAGUUUUAGGCUUGAAUUCUUAAAAGAAAGUGGACCUCAAAAGUGAAAAAGAUGCCUUAGCUUUGCUCAAAAACAAAGAUAACACAACACAGAAUCAGGCAACCCUAAGAUGCCUUAGCUUUACUCAAAAACAAAGAUAACACAGAAUCAGGCAACCCUAAUAGUAGCUCCUGUUUAUCUAAAAACAGAGUCAGUUCACUGGACCCUACAUCAGGUAACUUAAUUUCAUUUGGUGUCAUACAUGUUGGUUAAGGUCCAUGCGCCUUUUGCUGUGUUUACACUCAGAAUAAUUUUAGGGGUUUCUCCUUAAUGCUUGCAGUGGUGAGGAUUUAGGUUUCAGUUAUACCUACGUAGUAUUUCAUACUUUUCACUACUCUUCCAUAUUGCAUCCUCAAAAACUCCCUUGAAGCAGAUAACAUACUUGGUAAAAGCCAAGUAUCCAAAAAGUUAUGGAACCACAUCGUGCUUUCAUAACAUUGAGUCAUUUAAUUGUUUCAGUAGUGCUUUGAGGUAUUCAUAAAUGAGGGAAAUUAUACAGACUAAAGAUCCAGAGCAUUUUUUACAGUUUUAAAGGUUUUUCAAAGUUAUUCUUAGAUAAUAUGUUUAUAUAUUUAUUAUUUAUUUACAAGCAGUCACUUACUCUGCAUCUACAAUAACUAAGACUUGAGAAUAUAAAAUUGAGUAAGACAUCUUAGUGUGCAAGGAGAUCAGAGCAGAACAGAUCUUACCUUUGGAAAACUGUUAAUUUUUACCACGUUGAAACACAAAGAUUCAUAGUUGAUGCGAUCCAGCACCUGCCAGAAUCAUAGCAAUCAGACUUCCAAAUAUGAGAAUCAAACAUUAGAAUCAUUAAAAAUUUGAGAGGCGGGGGGGACAGUUGUACAACUCUUGAGCAAAAGUUGACUUAUAAGCUAAUAUUAAUAUUUCAAAUUUGUACGACAAACAAAUGUGAAGAUAUAAUGUGUAUUUUAUUUGAAUGUCUUCCCUAUCACAAAAUCACAUGAGUAAGUUGAGUUGGUAAACAUUUAUUUAUUUUUAUCUUUUCUAAAAUGCUGAAAAGAAUUUUUCUCCCACACUAAAGAGGGUUUGCCAAGUUUCUGCCUGGAGCAAUUUGUUAUGGCUGUGUAAUAAAUCCCAGAAAGUUUGAAUUUUUAAUGGAAACACUGACAGAAUAAAGAGGGUGUAAUCCUACAUAUGUCAUUUAAAAAUCUGAGCAAACCAUAGUGUGCUUGCAAAACAAAUAUACUUUCCUUAGAUUGCACUCACAAAUAAGGCUGGGGAGACCACAAAAGUAAAACAAACUCAAAAGUGAAAAACACUCACACAAUAGACUCUGAGGUCAGCUCACCACACCCAGACUAAAGUCACUGGGCUCUGUGCGUGUCACCAAGACUCUUAAAAGACAUACUUCUGAAUCAUCUUUCUUGACCCUCCACCAAACUGUAGCAAGACAGGCUUCCUGGGAAUGAAAAUGACAUUAGCAUUAGUCAAGAGUGAAAUUAAAGUCAUUGUACUCAAACAUCUGCCAACAGUCUGUGAUUUCAUAGUACCCACCUCUGAAAUAAGACUCUGUCUACAAUUAAAAACAAAGAAAAAAAGGUACUUUAGGUCUUCACUAUCCACUAUGUCUACUGAGCACUUGAAAUGUGUGAUUAGUCCAAAUUAACAUGUGCUGUAAGUGUGAAAUAUUCCUCAGAUUUUAAAAACUUGGUAUAAAAAAUACAUAUUUUACAUAUAAUAUAUAUUAUUCAUUAUUCCUAUAUUAUUAAUUUUAUGUAUUAUAUAUACACACAUGUAAUAUCUCCAUUUUUACAUUGAUUAAAUGUUGAAAAUAUUGGGUUAUUUUUUAAUAGUGUACAUUGGGUUAAAUAAAAUAUAUUAUUAAACUUCAUUUUACCUGUUUCUUUUUACUUUUUUUUUUGAGACAGGGUCUAGGUCUGUCACCCAGGCUGCAGUGCAGUGCAGUAGUGCAGUCUCUGCUCACUGCAACCUCCACCUCCUGGGCUCAAGUGAUCCUCCUACCUCAGCCCCUGAGUAGCUGGGACCACAGGCAUGCGCCACUACACCCAGCUAAUUUUUGUGUCUUUUGCAGAGACGGAGUUUCACCAUGUUACCCAGGCUGCUAUUGAACUCCUGGGCCUUGGCCUCCCUAAGUGCUGGGAUUAUAGAUGUGAACCACCACGCCCAGCCUCUUUUUACUUUUCUUAAUGUGGCUACUAUAAAGUUUCAUAUCACAUGUGUGGAAGGGUUAUAUAUUUCAUUUCUAAUGAACAACACUGAUACAGAUAUUGGGGCUGAGGAGGCACAGGAAUUGGUUCUAAGAACCCAGUUUAAGAUCUUAGACUCCCAGCAUGGCUCCCUGCAGUGGUGUGGUAAAUAACUUAUUUUUCUGCCUUCCCCAUGUUCCCCCCUUACACUGUGUAACACAGAACUUAUCCUACUCUGUUAUAAUGAUCACUGAGAGUAGACUGUCGGUGAAUGCGUGAUCUCACUGGUAGAUCUGUUACAGGCCUGCAAAACAAAAAUUUGUUAGGCUUAUCUGUGACUCAGUCUUCUCAAGCUCUGGUACCUUGUCACCCUGGGAGGCUGAUGGAAAACCUAUGCUCUGUUUUCGAAAGCACAAGCACAAGCAUCCUAGAGUUACAGCUGGUUUUGCUGCUUGUGGCUAAAUGGUUUGGGGCCGAUACUUUCUAGUGACAGAUGGCUUUGGACAUUGAUAAUGAAAAUUAUAUAAUUUGUUGCUUAACUAAAAAACAUCAAGGCCAUCAAAAGGAAAUCUGUUUAAAAAAAAACUUUCUAAUAUAUUUAGUACCAUAGGAUACUCUGAAAAGAAAUGAUUAUUUUUAACCAUCAUUGUUUAUUUUGCAAGCAAGACCUAGAUAAAUUUUCAUCAAUGCAGCUCUGACCAAGAUUGAAUAUAAGGCAAGUAUCAUAAUUUAUGGUCUUAGUCAUCUAAAGAACAUAGCUCUUCUUACAUGGAAAGAAAACAGACAACAUUUUGAGGCUUAGAAUGAAUGAGUUGAACUUUGUUUGGUAUUGGCCAGGAGCAUUUGGAAAUUUAUUAAAAGCAUUUCAUUAACAACUUGGCAUUUUGUUUCCUCAAAAGAAAUACAUUUUCCAAAUUUAAAUCAAAGCCAGAACCACCAUUUUUUGAACUGAAGGUAGUGGCAGCUGAUGGUUUGUGCCUGUUAAGCUGAGGGUGCCUUCGGAAUAAGAUCAUGGGCAACAACAGGCUGCAAAAAUAAACAUCAAAUUUUUAUGGAAGGAGUGAAGCAGUGUUCUUUGUUGUUCUAACUUGAUGACAUUAAAAUAUGUGGCUAUAAGCUCUCUUAGUUACUUUAUUUUUCUUGAGUCAAUAUUGGCCAGGAGAAGCUGAUCUGAAUGAGGGUCAGAGGUUAAGAAAAUUAUUUUAUGAGGAAUUUACCAAGUUUACCCCCGAAGAGGGAGAGUUAGAGAAAAAUGCAUUGGCAAACUUUGCUUUUUGACAUAAAUAACUAGAAUUCACCAAGGGAACGGCCUGUGUCAGGGUUUCAGUGAGGGUUGUCAGGCAGUUUGAUAUUUGCAGAACCCCUCUCUGUCAGGCCUCUCCAAAGUUUAACUGCUAGGAGAUCUGGGAAGCUCUCAAGACUGGCGACUGAAGAUACUGAUUUGCUUUGUGUCUGAGACACAGGCAUAAAACGAUGGCUACUGCCACAGAUGCUUUCUGACAGAGCAGAAUAAUAGCACUCAGACUUAAACUGUACAUUACAAACAAUCCCUUUUUAAGUACAAAAUGAAUGCACAGAAUGGAAGACCCUGUCAGCUAGAAUACAAGUAAAUCAAGUAGAAGAAGACAAAUUAUUCACUCAUACCACUACAGCCAAAUUUUUAUUCUGCUAACUGCACUGUCAUGAGAGAGCUUUUCUUCUUUGUCAGAUGUUAAUAUUUAUGCCUAGUGUUCCAUUAUCGGAACGCUAAGCAUGUGGGAGUUAUUUAUAUCCUACUGCUCGAGGUCAUCGCCAAGGUCUGAUUGCAAAAAUUCAAAAAAUUGCAACCAUAAAUGGGUUAAGAAAAUCGAUACAUCAUAGUUAUUACAAAUAUAUGAGGCACUGGAUGCAUUUCCUCUGAGAGCCAAUCAAAUUACAGGAUAUGUUUCCUAACUCCCCACACCUAUUCCAGUUUAAAAGUUGUAGCUUGAGUACCAGGAGUAAGAACACGUGAACCCUUCACUCCCAGGGCUAGCUUUUCCUGCUGUCAAUUUCAUAAUUAUAUUGCUCCGCCCCUUGGCUUAGCACUUCCUUUCCCCUCACUACCUUCUCACCCCAACCCCCAGCAAUGAAUCAUCAGGCCUUUAAAGAGACUUAGACGACCCAGUGUGAACUUCGCUGGCAUCCUGUACAUUCUUAUGCCAAAAAAGGGGAGUUGCUCUAAGACAGAAACUAGCCAGACCCUGAUGCAGAUCUUGGAGGCAACAAGCUUGGGUGCUUAUCUGGGAAGAUCAGCGAGGAGUUAAUUUUCCUAGAUCGCAAUGGUGAUUCAGAAUUGCAUAUCUUAGUUCAUGAUUGGGUUUUUAAGAACCCAGUUCGACCCUUUGUACAGAAAGGAAUAUAUCAAAGGGAAAAAUGUUGGCAGAUCUCCUUAUGCAAUCAGGGCAAAGGAAUUUAUACCACAUUCAACUCUUUGAUUUCUCCAGAUCUGGCUGAGGGUGGGGUUUCCAUAUUUGUGCUUUGGCAAAUGUGUCCAAUAAUUAACUCCUCCUGAUAUAUGCCCCUAGUGUUCUUCCAGGUUAUCAUGUGCUUAUUUGUGCAUUUAUUAAAACCAGAAACAUUUUUGCCCCUUCAUUGUUUAAAUACUGUGUCUGAGUAAUACAGGUUAAAUAGACAACAAGAGCCUUGCCUUUUAAAGACUUUACUCCCCACCUAAAGAGGUGAAGGAGAUAUCAUUUAAAUAACAUUAUGCGUGUGCAUAUACCUUCUAUAUGGAAAGCCCUUUCUUCUCCUCCCUCCUUUUUUUUUUUUUUUUUUUGCAUGGAGAUUUUAUCCUCAUGCUUUUGAGAUCCGGCUCAAGCAUCAACACUUCUGUGAAGUCUUUCUUGAUUAUCACAGGAGUCUGCGGCUCUGCCCAAUGUGUGAGUCAGAGAAGUGCUAUUUUCUUAUUCUUUUUAUUUAUACAAUAUUUUUUUAAACCUCUAACCGAAAAAAACAGGGCCAUAAGCACAGAUGGAGAGAGUAUCCUAAGUGGGAGCUCUCUUACUUGAAUACUUCCUGCUACUCCCAAACCCAUUUGACCUCCCUUACAGUUUCAGCGUGCAACUGCGCUUCCUUUGUUUAUGCUCCAAUUAUGUGACUCCCCUCCACUGAUCAGUUUUUCAUGUAACUUUCCACUGCCCUCUGUUAUGAGUUGAAUUGUGACCCCAAAAGAUACAUCGAAGUCCUAACCCCAGUAACUAUGAGUGUAGCCUUAUUUGGGAGUAGCAUUUUUGCAGAUGUAAUUAGUUAGGAUGAGGUUUUACUGUUUUAGGGUGGACCCUAAAUCCAAUGCAACUGUUGUCCUCAUAAGAAGAGAAGACACAGAAACAGAGGAGACACAGGGUAGAUGACCAUGUGAAGACAAGGCAGAGACUGGAGAUAUGCUGCCACAAGCCAGGGAAUGCCAGGGAUUGCUAGCAACCACCAGAAGCUAGAAGAGGCAAGGAAGCCUCCUCUCCUAGAGCAUUUAGAGAAAGGAUGGCCCUGUUGACACCUUGAUUUCAGACUUCUAACUUCCAGAACUGGGAGGGAAUAGAUACCUGUUGUUUUAAGCCACCCAGUUUGUGGUACUUUGUUAUAGCCAUCCUAGGAGACGAAUGCACCCUCCUUAUGAGAUCCAUGAUUCCAGGUCUGUUGGAUUCUCCUUUCUUCUCUUUAUUUACGUAUAUGGCCCUACCUCUUCCUGCUGCAGAUACUCCUAGGUAAUCUGUUCUGGAUGUACUUUUGGUCUUGCACCUAUGACAAUACCAAUAAACAAAGAAAAGGUCUAAUGGAAUAGAAAACUUACAGAGUUCUAGAACCGCCUCCUCGUCAUCCCAGAAAAACAUCUGGCUUCUGGCUCCAGGCCUCAGAGAGCACAAGUACAUUACACUCCUGCACGGGGCGUCAGCUGGUGUCGGCGUCCUCCUCGGCCCUCCUCAGCUCCCUCUGCUGGGCGCCCGAUGCACCAGCAGCUUCCCUCUUCAGAAGUAGUCUUCCAGCAUGUGGGUGGGGUUGGGGUGAAGAAGAGACCGCAAAAACUAAAUUAAUUUGAUAUUGAGGAAAUACAAUGCUAAUUGUUUGGCUUUCUUUUACUGUCUAUUUGAGUGUUAUCAAAGUGCUUAUGAAGACCUUGGUCUUUCUGAUUCUCCUUUUUCAAAAAACCAAAAAAAACCGAGAAGCUCAUUUGUUUCAGGAAGUUUCCCUGAGCGAGUGGAAGGGGAGGCCUCACACUGAAGCCAGAAUACAAAGGAAGUCCUCUUGAGAUGGAUAAAGCAGUUCUUACAUGCAAAUCUCAGAAAAUGGCAACUCCAUCUUUCCACCUGUUCAAGCCCAGAACCGCUGGCAGUGUCUUGACUCUCUCGUCAGACCCCACAUCCAAUUUGCCAAAAAUCCAGUUAAAUCUACCUUCAAAACAUAUCCAGAAUCUGACCAUUUUUCAGCCCUGGGACUGCUACCACUGGAGUUAAACCACCACCGUCCUUCGUCAGGGUUACUGCGACAGCCUCCUAAAUUGGCCCUUACUUCUCCAGUUACCGGCCCACACCAGUCUACUGCCUGCAUUAGGUUGAUGCCACAGCUCUGCUCAGAGACCAAGGGCUCCCCCAAGGUCAAGUAAAAGCCCUUCAUGGCCUACAAGGCUGGCCUCGAUCAGGUCCUCAACUUUUCUGAUCUCAUCUAUCCCUGUCCUUGCUCCCACACUGCCAGCCUCACUGUCCUCUUUGCUGGUCCUCAAAUAAGCCAGCUGCUCUCUUGCCUCAGGGCCUUUGUAUUAGCUGUUCCCUCGGCUUGGAAUGCUUUUCCCUCUUGUGUUCGCAUGGCCCACUCCUUCAUCUUCUUCAGGUUAUUUUUUCUAAGAAUCAACCUCCUAGUGAGGCCUGCUGUGAACACCCUACUAAAAAUUCUACUCCCUCACUUUCCCGAUCCACCUUGCCCUGCUCAUUUAUCCCAUAAAUGUGUUGCUUUAUAACAUUCUAUGUCAUCUACUUUGUUUGUUUGUUUAUUGUCAGGAGGGCAGAGAUUUUUUUUUUUUUUUGUCUGGCUCAUUCAUCUAGAAUAGUUCUUGGCACAUGAUAGACACCCACUAAAUAGGCAUUGACUAUUAAAUGAAUUAAUCAGUAAUGUUUUCCAGAACCUACUAUGUGCAAAGUUCUGUCAGCCCCCAACACAAUGAUUAUCUCAUUAGGAGCUAAUCCAAAACUAAUCCAUCUGGUCCACACUAUGGUAUAAUAUAUGUUCUCUUUACUUGACCUUUGCCUUAGUGUCUGACAUGACUAUUAAAGCUGAGUUGGAAUGAACUGAGUCUCACACUCAGGCUUUGCAGAUGUCAUUUCAUUUCAUCCCCAUGAUGAUACUGUGAGAUAGAGAUCAUGAUUCUCACUUAUUAGGUGAUUAAACUGAGGCUUGGAGUUUAAAGGACCUGCCCAAAGUUCAGGGUCACCCAGCACUGGUUUCAAAGUGAAGUUAUCCACCUAUGCAGCUUGAGAAUUGUUAACAAGUCAUUACCUGAAUGAAAUAGGACAGUUACAGUCAUAACACUGCAUUGCAAUGUUUUGGCUAAGGGACCAUUUUUAAUCCAAUCUCUAGUUUUUGGAUUAUACAUGAAUUGUGAAUAACACCUGUAUCCCAGAAAUUAAAGCUAGUGAUGCUCAUUGAGAACUGAGUAUUUCUCCAUAAGCGAAUUGGCUUCAGAUCAACCUAAGUGGUUUCCCAACUAACAGAACUCUAUUCCAGCUUAUAAUUUUUACUCAUGCUGCUACAUGGGCUGGAAAUGAUUCUCACUUGAGGUUCAUGCUUGAAUCCCUAGAACCCUUUCCUAUUAAAGUCCUGUCUAAAGUAUCCCAUUACAGUAAGGACGAAGGAGAUCGUAAAGGGCCAACAUGAAUUCUCAAGGCUAAUUUAAUGACUUAAUUUCCUUCAGUUACUCUGGGCUGAACUUCUCCUGUUCUACCCGCAAGCUUCCCAGAGUCCUCUGUGACCAGAAUCGAAGCAUAGUGUCUGAAAGUAGCCUGGCCACACAAGAUGUGCAAAACACUGUAACCUCUUCACAGCCUCACUCCACUUUGUAUUUGAGGGAAAUGAUUCUAGAAGCUGAAAUAGACCAGAGUUCAACAGUCUGGGAAAUUUGAAGAAGAAAAAAGGAAGAGAAAAAAAAAAAAAAAAAAAACCAAGCCCUGCAUUUGCAGAGAUGUGAAGAGAACCCAGCUCUCUGAAGUUGGAAGGAAGUGAGAAGACCCUAUUUGUGGCUGCAGGAGAGGAAAAGAAAAGAGACCCGCAAGGAAACUACCAACAGAUGGUAAAUACAUUUUUAAUUCUUCUGUCAUACUGUGUGGACUUGUGCACAUUUGUCCUGCUGUGUUAGGCUCCCGAAAUAGCUAGCCAUGGAAUUGCAGAACAGUUCUGCUGCAAUUUGAGAUUUAGGAAACCAUGCUAGCUGACAAAACAGGAAGGGCUCAUAGUAGGAUGGAGUGGAUUUGCUCCCAGUUUGCAGCUCCUCAAUGUGGCAUCUGCUGUCAUUCUUAGUGCAGGAAAAUUCUCUCACAUGUCAGGUCUCAUUGGUGAUGUUUUGCAACAUACUAUCUCAAAUUGCCCCCCGAGCCCUAGUUAUAAUUAUUAAAUGUUGACACUAUGCAUAUAACUCCCAAAGAUUAAAGAGAGUGAGGUCCAUUGAUUUAUGAAUCCUGAGUCCUCCAGGGAACAUCACAAACACACAUGGCAGCCCAGAUCUCUUCACCUAGUCUUCCUCAUACUUUUGGUAUGAGGUUGCUCUACAAGAACCUAAAGAGGUAGGACACAAAAGCACAUUCAGUUGACUCCACAUCUGAGAAGUGACCAGUGAUUGGUACCAGGAAUGAGUUAGGUUCCCAACCCCAACACCAUCUCUCAGUGCAUCUGCAAAAAAAAACCACAAGUGUCAAUUAAUCUAACUGGAUGCAGGAUAAUGAGGAGAGGGUGGCCUAUUAAUUAUAGUGUGAAAAUAUAGCUAUAUAAUGCCAUUUUAUUAGAACUGGAAAGAUCCUUACAGAAUCUAGUUCAAUUAUUUUUUUUUCAUUUUAUAGACAGGAAUCUGGGCCAAAGAGUUGCAGGAAAUUGGCAAAGAUCAUACAACUAGUCUGUGGCAAAUUCAGUACUGGAACCUAAGACAUCUCCCUCCCAGUCCUGUGUUUGUUCUCCUCUAGUCCUCAUAGAAGGUGGACACUGCUGUGAUGAGCAAAAUCCAAUUCUAGAAGAUUUUGAUCAUGGCAGCCCGCACACUUGGGUUCUUAUAAAGUGAGAUGAUGGCAUUUCUGUCUGGUCUGUAGAUGUUUGGGAAACUGGUUGAUAUUCUUUACAAGUAAGAUUUCAAGCUAAAAUAGAUUUGUUAAUUUCUGUCCUAACCCCCUGUGGAUUGUUUCUAGAUUAUAUAGCUACCACACUAUUUGGCACAGCUGGGAUCCUCUUUUCAUGAAAUAGCAGGGAAGAUUGGUAGAUAAGGAUUAAAAAGCACUGGCAGAGGAGACAGGGAGACUUACACAAUUACUUCCUACCCAGUGCCUUCCUGGUCUAGGAACUUCUUCCAGCCUCUUUUGGAGAGAGAGGUAAGUGGGAGGAAAGGGGAUUUUUAUCUUUUUAGUAAAAGAAAGGAUAACAAAAACACUUUAGCACUGCUCAAUUUGAUGAAAUCUUGAUUUCACAUAGUUUAAGUUUCUACCAGACUAAAUAUAUUCUUGUUCAAAAUAACAUAUAUAUUCAUAGAUAACUUUUCCAGUGGAUACAUAUGUAGUUCAUUAAUAAAAACUCUUCUCAAUCAGCUAUUUUAAAAAGUGUUCUUUCCUGUUUUCUAGAAAGUUAAUCGGUAAGCUCCUCAAUAGCUGGUUUGGCAGUAAGGUCUUAAAUUUUGCAAUUUUAGUCAGCAUUUUGCUUUGUUGUUUUGCACAUAAUUUCAGCAACAUUUUAUGCUAUUUUUUUUGUUGUUGUUCUUUUUGAGACAGUGUCUCACUCUGUCCCCCAGGCUGGAGUGCAGGGGCAUGAGCAUGGCUCACUACAGCCUCAACCUCCUGGACUCAAGCAAACUUCCUGCCUCAGCCUCUCAAGUAGCUGGGACUACAGGCGUGCACCAUCACACCCCGCUAAUUUUUUUUCUUUUUUGCAGAGAUGGGGGUCUCACUAUUGUUGCCCAGGUAGGUCUCAAACUCCUGGGCUCAAGCAGUCCCCCUGCCUUGGCUUCCCUAAGUGUUGGGAUUACAGGCCUGAACCAUUACACCUCGCCUUAUCCUAUUUUUGUGGCGGUAAAAAAUUAUACUUGUUAGAUAUACACAUGGAAUUCUUUGUUUUGAGAAUUAAUUUGAUCAUUUUGAAUAUUCUUAGGAAUUCACUGUCUACUUGAUCAUGGUGGAUAAGCUUUUUGAUGUGCUGCUGGAUUUGGUUUGCCAGUAUUUUAUUGAGGAUUUUUGCAUCAAAAUGUGGCACAUAUACACCAUGGGAUACUAUGCAGCCAUAAAAACUGAUGAGUUCAUGUCCUUCGUAGGGACAUGGAUGAAGCUGGAAACCAUCAUUCUCAGCAAACUAUCGCAAGAACAAAAAACCAAACACCCCAUGUUCUCACUCAUAGGUGGGAAUUGAACAAUGAGAACACAUGGACACAGGAAGGGGAACAUCACACACCGGGGCCUGUUGUGGGGUAGGGGGAGCGGGGAGGGAUAGCAUUAGGAGAUAUACCUAAUGUUAAAUGAUGAGGUAAUGGGUGCAGCACACCAACAUGGCACAUGUAUACAUAUGUAACAAACCUGCACAUGUACCCUAAAACUUAAAGUAUAAUACAAAAAAUUUUUAAAAAGAAAUUCACUGUCUAUCUCCAUGAUCUAGUAAUGGAAUGGGGGUGGAGGAGGGUAAGAAUUAUCUUAAGUGAAUUAUUUUCAGUAGAGCAGUAAUGAAGGCACACUUUAGGUUAUUUCAUUCCUAUGAUCCAAAUUUGAUUAUCUAGCUAAGAUCACUGGGGGCAUUUGAAGCUUUAAUAAUUACAGCUCAAGGCCUCAGGAAAAAAAAAUUACGUUUACUACACAUUCACACAGCUUUUCAGAGAGUUGCCAAAUGAGGGCUGAUUUAAAAAAUAGAUUGAUAUCAAGAUUCCAUUUUGAGAGUUCAAACUCUGUUGACAUAAAAACAAACGCUAGAUUUAAACAAUUGUUUUGUGUAGAACAGUUAAACAUUGUUUAUUUGAAAGAGUAAAAAACAUAAGCUAUUGAUUUUACCUUUCCUUUUGGAAGACAGCUUUAGGAUUUUUCCCCUAGAAAGUUUUGAGGCCAGGAUUUUUACUACAAGUGCCGUGUUCCCUGACGUGCCAGCACAGCUUUGAAGCUGUCUCAGCUUCUAGGUCAAAGGCUCCCUCCCUGUGGCCAGAUGCCAGUCUUAUCCUUAGACUCCCAUGAGCUUCAGAAAUAAAUCAACUUUUCAGUAAAAUCCACUGACAGCUCUGCUUUACAUAAAAGCAUGCGGCCUGAGGAUGUAAUGCAGUUUUGCAUUUUAGGUGGAUAAGAAAAGAAAGAAAGCAUCCCAUAUCACUGAGAGACCAUUUCAAAUGGAGUUGCCAUUAUGAAAGCCAAGGGGUGGCUUGGAGGUAUUGCACCCACUCUUCCUGCAGCCUGUCCAACCCCAGCACAUAGUACUCACACAGCAGAAAACCACUGUAGUACAAAUGGCUCUACAGUGUUCUCAUCCUUGUAUAGCACUGGUUAGUAACAUCCAUGAAUUGAAGAAGUGUUGAGCAGGUCAGCACCCUGAGGCCAAAAUUUCCUCCUUGUGGUGAGAAAAGAAACAAAUGAAAAAAUUCCUCUCCGUACAACAAUGCAAAGUAAUCUCACAAUGUUGGAAAAUACAAAAGAGGCAAGACAUAAAAGAAGGCUUGCUAUACUGUUCCAUUUGUACAAAAUUUAAAAAUAUGAAAAACUAAUCAAUCAUGUUACACUAAUUAUACUUGUUUACCUUUGAUGAAGAGAGAGGAUUAGGAUUAGAAUGGGACAUGAUGAUGGCUUCUAGGGUGCUAGAAAGUUCUAUCUUAACCUGGGUGGUGGUCACAGAGGUGUGUUCACUUUGUGACAAUGCAUUUAGAAUAAUGCUAUUCUAAAACAUUAGAAUAGGGCUGGGCGCGGUGGCUCAUGCCUAUAAUCCCAGUACUUUGGGAGGCUGAGACGGACAGAUCACUCGAGAUCAGGAGUUUGAGACCAGCCUGGCCAACAUGGUGAAACCCUGUCUCUAUUAAAAAUACAAAAAUUAGCGGGGCAUGGUGGCGGGUGCCUGUCAUCCAGCUUCUUGGGAGGCUGAGGCAGGAGAAUCGCUUGAACCUGGGAAGUGGAGGUUGCGGUGAGCAGAGAUUGCACCACUGUACUCCAGCCUGGGUGACAGAGCAAGACUUUCUCAAAAAAAUAUACAGCACUUUUGCAUAACUAAACUAAUAGAUAUUGAGAAAAACCGAAAAUUAAGACAAGUUCAGGAAAAAAAAAUGACACCAAACCCCAUGGUAGGGCAGUGGAAACUCUCAUGCCUGGAUCCAGGGAAUGCUCAUUGCAAUUAUUCUUCUUGGUUAACUGUUUGGCAUUAUCUACUGAAGUUGAAGACACGCAUAUUCAGUGAUCUGGAUUUCCACCCCUGGGUAAUAUCCAAGAGAAAUAUGUACACAUGAGAACCAGAAGAACAGCAACUCUAUUCAUAACAACCCUAAACUGAAAACAAGUCAAAAUAUCAACAGUAGAGAAGAUAAAUAAAAUGUCAUAUAUCCAAACUUGGAAUACUAUACAGCACUGAAAACAAAUGAACCACAGUACUCUCACAACAUGGAUGCAACUUAAAAAUUAAAUGGGCCAGACAUGGUGGCUCAUGCCUGUAAUCCCUGCACUUUAGGAAACUGAGGCAGGAGGAUCUCCUGAGGUCAGGAGUUCGAGGCCAGCCUGGCCAACAUGUUGAAACCCCAUCUCUGCCAAAAAUACAAAAAUUAGCCGAGCGUGGUGGUGGGUGCCCGUAAUCCCAGCUACUCUGGAGGCUGAGGCAGGAGAAUCACUUGAACCUGGGAGGCGGAAGUUGCAGUGAAUCGAGAUCGCGCCUUUGAACUCCAGCCUGGAUGACAAGAGCAAAACUCUAUCUCAAAAAAAGAACAAAAAACAAAAAAUGGUGAGAGGCAAAAAAUCAUAUGCUUCCAUAUACGUACUUAAAGUUCAAAGAGUAGAAAAAAUAUAUAGUAUUCAGCCCUAUACACUUAGGUGUUGAAACAAUAAAAGCAAGGUCUUGCUCUGUCGCCCAGGCUGGAGUGCAAUGGUGUGAUCACGGCUCACUGCAGCCUCAACUUCCUAUGCUCAAGUGAUCCUCCUGCCUCUACCUCCCAAGUAGCUGGGACUAUAUAGGCGCAUGCCACCAUGUCCAGCUAAUUUUUAAAUUUUUCGUAGAAGCAGAGGUCUUGCUAUGUUGCUCAGGCUGGUCUCCAACUCCUGGGCUCAAGCAAUUCUCCUGCUUUGACCUCCCAAAGUGUUGCGAUUACAGGCAUGCGCCAUCAUGCCCAGCUCUGUUCUAUUUCUUGACUUGAGUCAUGGUUAUGUGAAUGUUUACUUUAUAAAAUGGUAUUGAGUUGUACUUUUCUAUAUCAUGCACUUUCCCGAAUGUAUGUUAUAUUUCACAGUAAAAAGGGUGUUAAAAAUCACAUGAAACCCAAUUAUUUGGAGAUAGUUAUAAAUUGAACACCUUGAUGUAUAUAUACUCCCAGAACUUCUUUAAUGCAAUAUAAUCUGGCCAUAUUGCUUUGUAGCCUUUAAUUUUUUUUUAAUUAAUGAUAUGCCCUCUCAAAAGAAUUCCUCUUUAGAUUUUCUCCAUUUCCACUUAAUUUUAACUAAAAGUAAAUAUCAUACAAGCUUUAUGCCCCUCUGGAAGCCUAAAGCCAUAGAGUGGCUUUCAGGAAAUUAGGUUGCUUUAGCCUAAGCUACAUUGAUUCAUAAACCAAUCUACAGGAUUUUGCCAUAGCUCAUGGGAGACUUUUCCUUCUCUGUUAAUAAUGUUGCUGCUUCAAAAGAGGAAAGCCUCUUUCCAUCUCUUCAGAGUGCCAGCUCUGCAACAGAACAGGCCAGGAAAUGAGGGGGAAAGGCCAGCGCAGAGGAGGGGACAGGGAGCUUGAGGCAGGGAAGGAGAUCAUCUUAGAACUGAUUGCAAUGUCUGCCAUGCUGAGCUCAUGCCUAGCCUGUCCCAGGCAAUGACAGGAAGCAGAUUUUCGAAGUGAUCUAGGGAUUCAAAAUAAAAAAAAGUAGUUUCAUUGCUUUUUCUUGCCCCUGGGAUGGAACCAGUGUGCUUCCCUCUGCCUAGAACCCCCUCCCCUUUCCCUUGUCCAAUCUCCAACCAUCCUCCCUGUUCUUCACUGUGUCAUCAUCGUAGCCAUUCACAGUCAAAGAACCCAUCAAUGAGCAUCCAAACCUGAAGGGGACCACACGAGAGCCCCAUGGCACCCUGUAUUUACCCCGCCACAGCAUUCAUCAGCCUAUGCCGAAGUUACUAUUUUCUUGUCUACGAAUACUCCACUAAUCUGUAAACUCCAUGAACACAAGGUCAGUCUGUUUCACUGUAGUAAUUCCAAGCACCAGGAUAUAUUGGCCCUUGAUAAUAUAUUCCUUGGAUGCAUGAAAAUCAGGGUGAUGCGUGAAGUGAGAUGGGAC